AUGUGUGAUUACAGAAGGAAGCUAGGAGGUGCAGCAACUGGAAGUCGGAUUUCACUCCCGUGGCUGCAAUUAGAUCAAGUUUUGGCUGAUUUGAUCUGAGCACGCACAGAUUGUUUUUGACUCCUACCCUCCCAGAAACUUGAGAAAUGUUAUUCUUGCUGCAGACCUGCCAUAUUGAUUGAUCUGUACAAGCUUGCAAUUAAGGCCCUUGGCCUAGUCUCACCUCCUCCCCAUGAACAAUAAGGGAUGAAGUUUCAGGGUUCCAUGCCCCGUGAAUGCAAUAUUGAAGAAACCUUGCAGUGCAUUUUGCAAUCAUUUGAACAUAAUAAGACAUUAAUUAAUAUCGUGUUCACAUAAACCCACGGGGAAUGUCAUUGUUAACUGUUAACAAUUUAAAGUGCUUGUACAAAUUUUUAGUGAUAAACAAAGCUUUAUCUCGUACUAAUUAGAAGAACAUGCAAACAACGUAACAGAUCGAUCUAACUGCACU
rnacentral:sRNA from 1 species